rnacentral:rRNA from 1 species
GUGGGGAAUAUUGGACAAUGGGGGCAACCCUGAUCCAGCAAUGCCGCGUGUGUGAAGAAGGCCUGAGGGUUGUAAAGCACUUUCAGUGGGGAGGAGGAUUGACAGGUUAAGAGCUAGUUAAUUGGACGUUACCCACAGAAGAAGCACCGGCUAACUCCGUGCCAGCAGCCGCGGUAAUACGGAGGGUGCAAGCGUUAAGCGGAAUUACUGGGCGUAAAGGGUGCGUAGGUGGUUGUAUAAGUUAACUGUGAAAUCCCCGAGCUCAACCUGGGCAGGUCAGUUAAGACUGUAUGACUCGAGUAUGGGAGAGGGUAGUGGAAUUUCCGGUGUAGCGGUGAAAUGCGUAGAGAUCGGAAGGAACACCAGUGGCGAAGGCGGCUACCUGGCCCAAUACUGACACUGAGGCACGAAAGCGUGGGGAGCAAACAGGAUUAGAUACCCUAGUAGUCC